CCAUCAGAUGAUUGAAAGGAACCUGGUAGAAUCAGAAGCCAUGGGUGCUGUCCCCACCCCUUCCUCCCUUUGAGAGAGUACAUCCCCUCUGAUCUCAUUUUCUCCCCAAAAACGGGAGAUUCCACAGUUGGCAGUUACCGGUGAAAUACAGACACAUUUGAGGUCAAAGAGGAAAUAAGAGAGACAAAGUUCCUACUGAAGAAUUAGACGGCGGACAAGAUGGCGGAAGAGUAGGGGGACAUGCUCACUCUCUCCCACAAAUACAACAAAAAAAGCACAUCUACAGAACAAAUAACUCACACAGAACAGCAACAAAUCGCUGGCAGAAGAACCUAAACUCCAAUAACGGCAAGAAGUUCGUGACAUUACUGGGCAGAAUGGGAGAAAAGAGGAGAGUGAGAGAAGGUGAAUCCGAGCGGGACGGGUGCUCCCGAAAAGGGAACUGAGGAGGAGAAAGGGAUCCCGCACCCUGGAAAGUCACCUACUGGGGGAAAGAUCAAACGAACCGGAGGAAUCUCCAGAUGCAGAGAAGAGUGUAGCAGUAAGUUGGAGUACUGAAAAGCCGAUCAAGAACUGAACAGACCAUCUGAACUACGGGCACAGUCACCAAAAAUUAAGACGCCUGGGUGGGGGCUGGGCACCAAGUCCUCGGCUCUGGAGGUUAGUUCCCGGCAAGGGUUAGGGGGGCAGGGCAGAGCGGAGACUGCUAGGGAGGUCUAGAAAAUGGUCUGUCAAAUUUGACUGGGCAGAGACUGCCUGGGAGACUAGAAAACAAAGCAGUCACAGA
rnacentral:lncRNA from 1 species